AUCCCAUCCCACCUUAUCCUCACCUCAGCCACCCUCUCCUCUCUCUCUCCCCCAUGCUCCACCACCGCACCACCUCCCCCGUGCCGCCGCACCAACUCCCUUCACGGUGCCGUCCCCACCACCUCGCGCUCUUCCACAUCCCGCAGCCAUGGCGCGGCCCCCUUCCUUUCCCUUCCCUGACCGGCCACCCACCCCCUCCCGACGCGUCGCCCGGCCGGCCACCCACCACCUCCCGACGUGCCACCCGGCCGGAUACCCACCACCUCCCGACGCGACGCUCGGCAUGUGACCCAGCACCUUUCGACGCACCGCUCGGCCAGCCACCCAGCACCUUCCGACGCGCUGCCCGGCCACCGCCUCUCCACGCGCCACCCGGCAGGCCACCCAUCCCCUCCUGAUGCACCGCCGGGCCACCCCCUCCCCAUGCGCCGCCUGCCCACCCCCUCCCCACACGCCAGCCGCCGAUCUGCGCCGCCGCCACGCAGGACGGCCAGAGGAACACCGGAGCUGGGCCACCCUCCUCUCCCUCCUCUCCUUUUACCUCCUCACCGCACCCUCUGAACUCGCUCGUGAACGCAGGUGUCGCCUUGGGCAUCUCAAAGCUUUCCCCACCCUGCCUCCGCUCUAGAUCCGGGUGUCACCGUACUUUUCGCGUCGAAUCCGGACGCCAUCCCCCAAGACCCCCUACCUCCUCGUCGGUCCAUCCUCUACUCACCGGCUUCCUUGUCCCCAUCGAUGAGGGAUCCAACAAAACCUCCCUCGACGAGCUCGCUUCCCCGGCUACCACUCCCACCAGCGCCACGCAGUCCAGUACGUGGGUGCACGCAGCACGCCCAUGGUUGAUGCAGUGUGGCAGGGUGGCAGAUGCAGUGCGGCACUCACGGUCAUGCGUGUUCACCGGCGUGGUCGCUAUAUAUUUCCACAAGAGAUCAAGGUCAACCGCAGCGACGACGCCCCGUGAAGUUCGGAAGAGGAUUUUUCGCGAGCAUGCAGUGCAAAAUCACUUUUUGAAAAUGUUUUGAUGUGGUCGCAGCCAUGGGACGCCGGCUUGAUUCAGAUUACCUAUGGGGGAGAGCAGUAGCACACAUGUACUAGUUCAGAAGCAUUUUAUUUUUAUUUUUUCAGACUUGUUUGUCAUUUCUCUCCAAUUCUGCAUUAGAGUACCUUGACAUGGCCACACACUUGUUUAGUUGGACAAGUCGUGGUUUCUUGUGUUGUGCAGUUCGCAGGUCCUGCUGGAGACGUUCACUUAACUGCCGUUGCCAAUUUUUAUUUUAUAAUUGAGGGUUGCCCAUGUUAAAUUUCAGGGCUAGUUUGUAAGCCCGUUGAAAACGAUGCAGUUCGUUGUGACA